CAGGCUGAGCCUGUAUCACAGAGCCGAAUUUCUCUCGCCGGGUAACACGUAGGUUUGAAGGUACUCCAGCUCAAAUGGACUUUCACUUACAUUUGGCUCCAACUACCUAAAGUCCGACAAGCUUUCUUGCCAACCCAAAAGUCCAGCUUCGGGAUAAGGGAAGCUGUUCAAAGUGCUACACCUGGCUGAUAUCUGCAAACGAAAUGAGUGCUGUGGCAAUAAAGCAAAGCGGCAAGGUCCAGAAAGGAGCCCAGGCAGAAGGUCCAGGAAGGAGCCCAGGCAGAAGGUCCAGAAAGGAGCGCAGGCAGAAGGUCCAGAAAGGAGCCCAGGCAGAAGGUCCAGAAAGGAGCCCAGGCAGAAGGUCCAGAAAGGAGCCCAGGCAGAAGGUCCAGAAAGGAGCCCAGGCAGAAGGUCCAGAAAGGAGCUCAGGCAGAGGGUCCAGCUGGGCUUUGUUGAAUCGGCCUUUUUCUUUUUGUUACUGUAUUUACGUUCCCUUGAGCUUUCAGAGAAUUAAAUGGACAGUAAAUAAUGCUGAUGAAACGCUAUUUAUUUCCAAUAUGCAC